rnacentral:misc_RNA from 1 species
AAGUCGUAACAAGGUUUCCGUAGGUGAACCUGCGGAAGGAUCAUUAUGAGUAUUUGAGGGAUAUGUUAGAUUGUGAAGAGGUGUGGUGUGGGAGGAGCAAGGGGGGAGAAUGAAAGAUUGAUUACCGGGGAGGUAGUUGAUUUGACAUUUUAACCGGGGGCACACACACACACACACUAAAAUAACAAGAACGAUUAUGGGAUUGGGAGAUAAAGAUGUAAUUUUAUUUACAAUAACUUUUAACAAUGGAUCUCUAGGCUCUU